rnacentral:rRNA from 1 species
GGAGUCUGGGCCGUGUCUCAGUCCCAGUGUGGGGGAUCUUCCUCUCAGAACCCCUAGACAUCGUCGCCUCGGUGGGCCGUUACCCCGCCGACUAGCUAAUGUCCCGCGAGCCCAUCCGUAACCACCGGAGUUUUCAAUAUUCCAUCAUGCGGUGAAAUAUGUUAUGGGAUAUUAGACGCCGUUUCCAGCGCUUAUCCCCCUGUUACGGGCAAGUUGCUCACGUGUUACGCACCCUUCCGCCGGUCGCCGCCACUGUAUUGCUACAACGCGCUGCCCCACGACUUGCAUGUGUUAAGCCUGCCGCUAGCGUUCAUC